CUCUCUCUCUGUUCUUUGGUUUCUGAAUCUCUCAUUCUCUCUCAUCAAAACUCAAAUCGCGAAAAUCAAGAAACGUUAACACAAAACCCAAGAAAAUAUUAUUAACAAAUUUUAUAUAUUUUUUAAAUAAAAUCAAAUAAAAAUAAGAAUUCUAGGGUUUCCAAAUUCUCUCAGUUUCCCUCUCUUUGCCUUUGAUUUUCCUUCCGUCCAAACACCCGCGAAAGUAUUAUUACGAGGAGGAAAAAGGGUACCAGCUCCGUUCGGUGGUCGAUUUUUUUCAAUUUUGUUUGUUUAUUUAGAUCCUGAGUUUUCUCGGAAAAGCUGCGUUUCCCGGGAAAUUUUUUCGCUCUAUUUCCAGCUGUAAUCGACGACCUAGUUCGGUGUGUUUUUUCUCAUGUGAUUUGUUCUGGAGGAAAAACUUGCUGGUAGUUGGAGUAAAGAAAGGGAGCAAAAUCCUUAUUAAAGGCUUUUAGAUUGUCUGAGAGAGAUUUGGAGCUCCAAGAUAACCUCUUCUUCUUCUUCUUCUUCUUCAAGGUAACCUCAAUAAUCCACAAGAUAACCUAUUUGUGGAUUAUUGAUAAAUUUCUAUAGUGAAACUGGGUUCUCUUUGAUCUUGAAUUGUUUGAAUAUUGGAUGAGAAGUGUUUUAUGGAUUUGGAAGCGUUUCCAUCUUCAAGGGACUUGGUGAAAUGUUGUAAUUGUGGUUGUAGUUGUUCCUCGAUUAGUGGUACUUCAGGGCCUUGGUUUAGGUCUGUGAAGAGAAAAUAUGACGAGGUUGAGGAAAAUAAGCCAUUCUUCAUACCAGGCUUCGAACCUUUAUCGGUUGCUCGGGUCCAAGUUGAGAAUGAAUGUGCUGCACUACGAGAGAUGGUUGGUAACCAGCAGCAAACGAUACAGGAUUUAUAUACAGAAUUAGAAGAGGAGAGAAAUGCUUCCUCGUCAGCUGCAAAUGAAGCCAUGUCUAUGAUACUCAGGCUACAGAGGGAGAAGGCUGAAAUCCAAAUGGAGGCCCGGCAAUUUAAGCGUUUUGCUGAGGAGAAAAUGGCACAUGACCAACAAGAGUUUAUGGCAAUAGAAGACCUGUUGUACAAGAGAGAGCAGGUCAUUCAAUCACUCUCAUGUGAAGUGCAGGCCUAUAAGCAUAGGAUGAUGAGUUAUGGGCUCACAGAGGCAGAGGCUGAGGGUGAGAAGGGUAAUGACAACAUGAUGGAAUUUGACUCACAAAACGAGAUUCCAAUGUUUGAAUACCCACCUUUGAGAUGCAAUCUCAAUGAGAACCUAGGUUCUUUGGAGGUUGAUGACGACGAUGUUGCAGAUGUUGAAAAACACGCAUUUGGUGAAACACCUCGUGGUAGAGAUCACUUGAAAAAUUUAGAGCAUAGGAUUCACCAGAUGGAGAGAUGUCCAAGUAAUAAUCAAUUGGAAGGGGAUUUUGCAGGUUCUAAGAACAUUUUAGAAAAGGUGAUAGUUGGCCACUCUCCUAGGCGGUCAAGACAUUCCAGGAAAUACUCAAAUGAUUCACCUUCAUUUUCAGGUAUGGUCAGAGAAGCGGGCACAGAUUUCAACACUGAAUCUCCAAGGUUCAAUGUUAGUUUCAAGAAGACAGAGUAUGUUUCACACGCAGAGGAGUACAGCACAAGAAAUGCAGAUUAUGGAUCAGAGAUUGGAGACGACAUGAGCGACAGGGUUUAUACCAUUGACUCAAUCCAUAAUGGGGUGCCUUACAAUGGUUAUGCGGAGGUUAAAGCUGGAGUUGGGAUUGGUGAGGAUAACAUAACCACUCCAAGAGGAUCUUAUAAUCAAGGUGAUAUUGGAGAUCCUGAAAUCAAGAAGCUCUAUAUGAGGCUCCAGGCACUUGAGGCUGACAGGGAAUCAAUGAGGCAAGCAAUUCUUUCAAUUGGAACAGAUAAAGCUCAACUAGUGUUACUGAAAGAAAUAGCACAACAGUUGUGCAAGGAUGUGUCACCCUCAAGACAAAUUACUGUUAAAAAGCCAUCUAUUCUUGGAAGCUUUUCCUUCAUGUCUGUUUUCAAGUGGAUCAUUUCCUUUGUUUUCUGGAAGAGGAAAGCUCGCCGAAGCAAAUACAUGUUUGGGUUAUCAGCCAACAGUAUGGGUUUGCUGAUGCUUCUGGAAAAAGGGCCCCGCACAAGGCAUUGGAGAUGUCUUACAAGCACUCAAGUGUAAAGCCAAUAAUCAAAUCAUCCAUACACUACCCUAUUGAAGAUUAUGCUCAAGUGAAAUCUGAGGAGGGUUAGGAUAGUUGGAAGGUUUUGGGAAGUACUUGUAUUGGCCUUCUGGUUAUAAAUGAAGUUCCGAAAUUAUUAUUAAGGAGUUAGGAAACUUCUGCCUUUGUGGCUUAAUUGCAAGGACAGACAGACCAAAAACGCUUCCAACAUUCGUUUUGCUAACUGAAGAAACGUCAAGAAUCAAGAUGUCAAUUACCUUUUCUUACAUCUCCAUGAAAAAGAUGAAAAAAAGACAGAAUUGAUAUUUAUUUAAAUUAUAUUAUUAAUUUUUAUCGUUUA